AACGCGUACCCAGACGGACCCAAAGACCCUACAAAGACCCCACAGCACCCAAGGGUGCUCAAGAUACGCCGAGAUAGGUUACUAAGACCCUACUAAGACCCUACUAAGACCCUACUAAGACCCUACUAAGACCCUACAGCACCCAAGGGACCUCAGUGUACCCAGAUGGACCCCAAAGACCCUACACAGACCCCAGAGCACCCAAGGGUGCUCAAAGCCUACCUAGAGAGACCCCAAAGACCCUACAAAGACCCUACGAAGACCCCAAAGCACCCAAGGGUGCUCAAAGCCUACCCAGAUGGACCCCAAAGACCCUACAAAGACCCUACGAAGACCCCAGAGCACCCAAGGGUGCUCAAAGUGUACCGAGAUGGACCCCAAAGACCCUACAACACCCAAGGGUGCUCUACAAGUACCGAGAAAGGUCCUGAAGACCUUCUGAAGACCCCAGAGCACCCAAGGGUGCUCAAAACCUCCCUAGAUGGACCCCAAAAGACCCUACAAAGACCCUGAAGCAUCCAAGGGUGCUCGAAGCCUACCUACAUGGUCCCCAAAGGACCCUACAAAGACCCCAGAGCAACCAAGGGUGCUUGAAGCCUACCCAGAUGGACACCAAAGACCCUACAAAGACCGUAUGAAGACCCCAAAGCACCCAAGGGUGCUCAAAGCCUACCUACAUAGACCCCAAAAAACCCUACAAAUAACCUGGAGCACCCAAGGGUGCUCGAAGCCUACCUAGAUUGACCCCAAAGACCCUACAAAGACUGUACGAAGACCCCAGAGCACCCAAGGGUGCUCGAAGCCUACCUAGAUGGACUCCAAAAGACCCUACAAAGACCCUGGAGCACCCAAGGGUGCUCGAAGCCUACCUAGAUAGACCCCAAAGACCCUACAAAGACCCCAGAGCACCCAAGGGUGCUCAAAGUGUACCUCAACAGACCCUAGAGCCCCAGCAAAGCCCAACCCAACCUUGACCUACCUCAACGCCGCCACGCCAAAUCCCCCAAACUCCCCCAAAACGCCCCUCCCCAGUGGGUAGGCUCCCCCCCAGCACCCUUGGGUGCCCCUCACCCUUCUCGCAGGCCAGGUGGGCGAGCAGGGAGAUGGUCUGGAUGGUUUUGCCCAGCCCCAUCUCGUCGGCCAGGAUGCCGUUGAGCUUCUUCUCGUACAUGGUGACCAGCCAGUCCAGCCCGAUGUGCUGGUACUCCCGCAGCGUCCCCCGCAGCAGGUGCGGGAUGGGCGUCUUCACCUGUCCCAAAAACGGGUCAAAACGCCCCGAAAUCGGGGCCCGGCUGCACCCAUGGG
rnacentral:lncRNA from 1 species